UUUAUUUUGUGUGAGAUGGAGUCUCCUCUGUCGCCCAGGCUGGAGUGCAUUCGCUUGUCCCGGCUUACUGCAGCCUCCGCCUCCCGGGUUCAAGUGAUUUUUGUGCUUCAGCCUCCCUAUUAGUGGGGAUUACAGGCGUGCACCACCAUGCCUGGCUAAUUUAUUGUAUUUUUAGUAGAGACUGGGUUUUACCUUGUUGGC
rnacentral:lncRNA from 10 species